rnacentral:lncRNA from 1 species
AUCAGAUUAACGUGGUUAUAUGUUCAUAGUGCUCUUAUUUUAGUUGUAUUUUCGUCCAAAAUACGAAUUAUUCCAUAAUUUCAUGAUUCAUCCUAAGCAGUUAUAAAGUUAGCAUAAACAAUGCUCUAUCUUCACUUGACUUAAGUUAAACUUAGCGCGUGCAGGAGUGUUUUAAUAACAGUGUUACAAUCGGUUGAUUUAAAAAAGUACUGUUCAUUGUAACAAUCUGCACAAUUAAUGAAAGUUAAUACUUAUAGUAAACCAUAUUCCUACCUAUGCUGUGAGACGCCGUUGAGUCAACAGUCAACUUUUAAAAAUGUCCCGCCCUUUAUUACCACUUCCUGUCUGUUGGAAUUUCCGGUUUGAGUUUAACGACGAAUAAAAUUAGAUAGAAAGAAAUUAGAUAGACCCUUAAUUAUAAAUGAACGCUAAAUACAUAAUCAUUUUUUUCUUUAUUGUUUAAAAUGCUAAAACAAAUAACAAAAAUGGAUUCAUUUCUAACUGAAGAAUUUCAAUGCGCAUGCGCGGAGGCGGCUAAAUUCAAAAUAUGUAAGCGUUACCCGUGAGGCUCUACGUUAGCCUGUUAGCUGAUGCGCGCUUAGCCUUACGAAAGGGAUGAAUGUCUUUUUACUGCUGUCUCUACUUAGUUAUUGCUUUAAAACGCAUACGGUGUAACAGGACGACACACCGCAAAAGUAAAAGGGAAAGAUGGAGCCCCAAGACUCUGACAAGCACAAGUAAAUUCAAAAUCUUUCAUUAAAUGCUUUAAAAUUUGCACCUUAUUUUUCCUCCCAUAAUCCUUUCUAAAAGUAUACUGAACUUGUGUUUUAACUGAAUUUUGUUUCAGUGAAGGCAGUGGUUUCAGAAAGCGAAGCAUUUCCUCUGUGAGUGUUGAUAAAAACGUGAUUAUAAUAAUGUAUUUGUUUACAAAUGUGGACAUUUUUGUGACUUUUGUCGUUCAGGAGAUUUCCAACAUGCUGUGUGUUUUAAUGCUUUUUUAUUUUAUUUGACAGAUUUUAAAAGCGCCAAGGAAAUCCAUCCUCUUACGCGACUUGGAACAACAGGAAAAUGAGGUGAAGGAUUAACAUAGAUUUUGGUCAGAGACCCACUCUGAUGAAAUGGUGUUUCUUCUUGUUUCAUUUUUCUGAUUAUGGAGGACAAAUAUAAAGAAAAUCAAGCUUAAAAUCGUUUUUAUUUAUUCAAAUCAUUGUGAAUCAGAAAAAAAUGAAGUUUAAUAGUUUAAAAAAGGUUGUAUUAUUUGUUACAAAUAAAAUACACUUGUCCUGCCACAAGCUUCCUGCUCUGCUUCAUUCUGAUUCAUUUACACGUAGACAAAUAGAUCCAUGAAAGUCUGAGCUGGAAUCUGGAUCUAAACUGUACGGAUGAAUAGGGUUGCUUUAUGCCAGCAGUCCAUCACACAACUUAGACACAAAUGUCUUCUUCACUGAGUGUGAAUGAAUAAUGGAUACACAUUGUAAUACUGCAUCUGGAACAGCGCAGGUUAAAUCCAAUCCUUCAUUUUUAUUAUUAUUAUAAUCAUGAUUAAAAUAGAUCAGAAGAUGAUCGGAGUGGGACUUGGCCUGAUCUCAUCAUAAUGAUUUUAAUCUUCAUUAAGGUGGAAAGCUCCAAACCGGUCGAGAAGAGAAAUUCCAGGAGAGUCAGUUUUGCUCCUGCUAAUGACGUUCUGCUGUUUGCCAAGUAAGUUUUCCACACAGACUGUAAAUGAGAACUGGACUGAGUGACCCCCCCCCCCUGGUUUCUCAUCAAACAUUUAGAAUAUUUGACCCAGUUCACGUAGCCCUCUUCAAGUGUUAGAGGUGUGGACAUCCAACAAGCUCAUUCCUGAUUGAUUAGUUUGGUUGCCAUAGAAGCGAUGGCUCACAGUGAUUCCUGCUGACUCCUCUGAAUUGUCUUCCUUUCGUUUAGGCUGGAAGUAAACCAUUUCCUAUGGGUGACGUCACACUCAGUCCAGUUCUCAUAGUCUAAAAGUAAAGUCAUAGUAAAAAAACAACAACAGUUUUUUGAAUAGUAACUAUUUUA